GGAAGAUCCGCAGCUUUGGUUGGACCCGGAACUCCAGGUGCCCUGAUCCAGGGACCUGCUGCCGAAGGAGAGCUUUGGGGACCUGAUGGUAGUCGCAUUGCUGCUGCGGGGCAAGCUGGCGCCAUUGCUGCCCCACCCCUACCAGGCGGCGUCGUUCGAGGUUCUGUAGUUCCAGGAGUUAUUGGUUUAGGACUCGGAGGUGGACUUGGAGGUGGUCUUGGAGCUGGAAUUGUUGGAGCUAGAGUUUGGUAGGAUUCACGAAGAAAAAUUGAAAUGGGGAAGAGGGGGAUGAUUUAAUUUGGUUGUGAUGUUAUUAUAAAUAAAAAAAAA